rnacentral:lncRNA from 1 species
AAUUAGCCCGGUUGUCUAUCUCUAGUGUUUUGGUACCUCUCUUUGUUCAGCAUGAUUCUUCAGAUAUUAUUCAAAGUGGUCAGUUUAAGAUUUCCCAAAUGGGAUUAUAUCCAAUAGCCCAAUAAAAUGUCCCUAAUUAAAGGAUUAUCAGGUAUCUAAGAACAUGAAAGAGGACUAUGGCCACUGCAGGGCCCUUGAAUUUAUACCUUUCCAUGCUUACCUUCCUUAUAAAUGACCUUGAUGGCACAGGUAAGGUCCAAGGCAUUCCAGGUGCUCUAUUCCUGAGCAUUCCCUGUUACUCAGGAGAUCCAGGGAAAAGAACAGUGGUUGGAGGAGUCACACCCUGUCCCCUCUCAAGAGUUCUGAAAAAUAUCACUGGAUGAAGAUUAUGAGGAUGAAGAGGAACUUCAGGAAAGAAUGUAGGGAUCUUCCAAAAUUUGGAGAUUGAGGCAAGAGGAAGAACUAGCAAAAGAGCUUUUAGCAGUAGCCAUAAGGUAGAAGGAAAAUGGAGAGUGGGAUAUGGCCUAAGCUAAGGGAUGAAAGCAUCUUUGGUGCUAAUUGUUGUCAAACUGUUGAGAAGUUGAGUAAGAUGAAGUCAGAAAAGUAAUCACUAUGUUUGACAAGAGGGAGGCCAUUGCUGAACUUGACAAGAAUAAUUUCUGUGAAUAGUGGCGUGAAAAAGCUCCUUUUGCCAGAACUAACAUAAAAAAGUUUAGUUAUUCAAGAAAUAGGCAUAUUCAUUGUUUGUGACAAUGAGAAAUUUAGGGGGAAAGAUCUGAUGUGGCCUCCAGAUCAUGGGAUAAGAUCUCUGGCCCGCAUUCCCAACUACUUGCCCCUGUGGAACUUAGCUAUCAAGGAGCAUCACCAAAUUCUAGGUCAGGACUCUGAGAUGUUUAAGAGACUAGGGACACAGAUUAAGGUAAUUUGGAGCAGGAAUGUACUUUCUGGGGAAUGAGAUUCUAUCAAACACAUGAAGCUGGGGUUUAUGGAAGGAUGUGGGAGGGAAUUACUACCAAGGCACUACCCUGUAAUUCCUUUUUUGAUCUGUCCCAAUUACUUUCUUCAUUCCUUCUUUCAUUUCAAAUAAACAUUUUGGACCACCCA